CCUAAUAACUUAUAAUAAAAGUAUUUUAUUGAAAAUAAAAAUAAAUCUCAUCUUCAAUAU
rnacentral:tRNA from 1 species